rnacentral:rRNA from 1 species
GCAAGUCGGACGGCAGCGCGAAAGAGCUUGCUCUUUUGGCGGCGAGUGGCGGACGGGUGAGUAACGCGUAGGAAUCUACUUGAUAGUGGGGGAUAGCCCGGGGAAACUCGGAUUAAUACCGCAUAUUUUCCAAGGAAGAAAGGUGGCCUCUGUUUCAUGCUAUCGCUAUCAAAUGAGCCUGCGUUGUAUUAGGUUGUUGGUGGGGUAACAGCCUACCAAGGCUACGAUACAUAGCUGGUCUGAGAGGAUGAUC